GUUCUGCGUCGGAUAGUUGCUCUAUGACUUUGGUUGUAGAGAGGAAAGUCCGAACACAGCGAGCCUCGCCACGGCGGGGUGGGAAUGGUAGCGGGUAACGCCCGCAUGUAGUGAUACAUAGGUGCGAACAGAAACGACCCGGUUAAGUCCGGCUGAAACGGCUAAAUCCUUACCCCUGUGCAAGAUCGUGCCCCGCCACAAGGCGUGGGAGAAUCGCUUGAUCCGUCUGGUGACAGACGAGACAGAUAAAUGACUAUCAUUCCGACUUCGGUCGGAAAACAGAAUUCGGCUUAUAGACGAAGAAUCAAA
rnacentral:RNase_P_RNA from 1 species